rnacentral:rRNA from 1 species
UACGGAGGGGGCUAGCGUUAUUCGGAAUUAUUGGGCGUAAAGGGCGUGUAGGCGGCUUCGUGUGUCCCAUGUGAAAGCCCUCGGCUCAACCGGGGAACUGCAUGGGAAACUGCGUGGCUUGAGUCCGGGAGAGGUGAGUGGAAUUCCCAGUGUAGCGGUGAAAUGCGUAGAUAUUGGGAGGAACACCGAUGGCGAAGGCAGCUCUCUGGUACGUGACUGACACUGAGACGCGAAAGCGUGGGGAGCGAACAGG